GACGAACGCUGGCGGCGUGCUUAACACAUGCAAGUCGAACGGAAAGGCCCUGCUUUUGUGGGGUGCUCGAGUGGCGAACGGGUGAGUAACACGUGAGUAACCUGCCCUUGACUUUGGGAUAACUUCAGGAAACUGGGGCUAAUACCGGAUAGGAGCUCCUGCUGCAUGGUGGGGGUUGGAAAGUUUCGGCGGUUGGGGAUGGACUCGCGGCUUAUCAGCUUGUUGGUGGGGUAGUGGCUUACCAAGGCUUUGACGGGUAGCCGGCCUGAGAGGGUGACCGGCCACAUUGGGACUGAGAUACGGCCCAGACUCCUACGGGAGGCAGCAGUGGGGGAUAUUGCACAAUGGGCGGAAGCCUGAUGCAGCAACGCCGCGUGCGGGAUGACGGCCUUCGGGUUGUAAACCGCUUUCGCCUGUGACGAAGCGUGAGUGACGGUAAUGGGUAAGGAAGCACCGGCUAACUACGUG
rnacentral:rRNA from 1 species